AAAGUGCUUUGAUAUCUUUGGAUGAAUGAUGCUUCAGAAGCAGUAAGCAGUAGCUUGGUUGUGGCUGUCAUAGUUGUUCUAAAAUGAUUCCAUUAAAACCCUGUUGGCUCACGUGAAUAUUUGAGUAGUAUAAACUGUUUGGACUCAAGUUUUCCAUGCUUGGUCUCCGUCUUGAAUCCACCACUUCCCUUGAUAGUUUGUUCCAAUGGUUAAUCGCCCUCAGUAUUCAGAGGUGGAUUAGGGGUUUGUGAGGCCCUGGGCCAUAGCAAGGGAGGUCCCUCUCCACCCCUGCCACCCUUCCUGCUCUGCCCCUGGCUCUCCUGCUGGGGAGAUGGGUUGGGACACGGGAGCUUCCCCUGCUAACUUGGUGCUCCUGCUGGAGGGCUGGCUCAGGACACGGGGCCUUUCCCCACUGCCCAGCAUGAGCACCAGGUGAGCUGGGCAAACCUCUAUCCCUUGACCCUGUUCUUUGGCAGGCAUGGCAGGUGAGGAGUGUGGGGUGUACCUAUUUUUCCAGGGCUCCCCCAAUUGGCCGAGGCCCCUGGGCAUGGGCCAUGUUAACCCAGUGGCAAAUCUGUCACUGUCAGUAUUAGAAAUUUGUGCUGUAUUUCCAGUUUGAAUGUUUGGCUUCUGCUCCCAGACAUGGGUUCUUAUAUCGACUUUCUCUGCUACAUGAAAGACCAAUUUCUUACCUGGUAUUUUCUCCCAAUGAAGGUGUUUAUACAAUAUAAUUGUCAGCUCAAUCUUCUUUUGGGUAAACUAAACAGAUUGAGCUCCUUAAAUCCCUCACUGUAAGGCAUUUUCUCUAGCCCUCAAAUCAUUUUUGUAGCAUUUUCUGUGCCGCUCCAGUGAUUCAAUAUCCUUUUAAAAAUACGGAUACCAGAAGUGUAUUCAGUAUUCCAGUAUUAGUCCCAUCAAUGCCAUAUAUAGAGAUAAAAUCACCUCCCUACUCUUACUCACUACUCUCCUGUUUAGUCUCCUCGUUCAGGAGAUAACUGAAAAGCCAUAGUCUGGCUGAGUCUGCUCAAGGCUAUGGUGCAGUGUUUGCAAGAACCCUCUGCCAGUUUUAUCCUCCAAAGUGCUCCUUCCUGGGAGCUAGCAGGGCAGGGUCUGUCUACCUGUCAGCCCAGGGCUGGACUCUUCUGAUUUGAGCUUCUCCCUUUUAAAGCUUCUCCUCCAAGAUUGCCAUUCCUCACAAGUGCAAUGGGGACAGGUCUGCCAGUGCCCCAAGCUGCUCUUUAACUCCUUCUUGCCUGGCAUGGGAUUUAUAAAUCCCAUGACAAGUAUCAUUUCCCAUUGAUUCCACUGGAACUACUUGAGCAGUAAGAUACUAUUUUUAUUGUGACGAAGGAUGGCAGAAUCUAGAUCUAGGAUCCGUUAAGUUUCUUAAGAGCCUUGGAUGGAGGGCAUUAUAAAAAUGCAAUGAAUAUUAAUAAUUCAGUACAAAAACUAUAUUAAAAUAGUGAGAUUGCAAAGUGAAGCAUCAGAAUUCUGGGCAUGAUGAAGUUAAAGUUGCAUGCAGAACAUUGAUUCCACUCUUUCUCUAUAUGCAUUCUGACUUAGUGUUAUAUAGUGGUCAUGUUAUUUUUCAAAUAAUGCUGUCACUAUAAUGGUUCCGGGCUAUCUGCACCUCUGACACUACCCGCUCUCUUUGCAUCAGGUCUCAGAUCUCAAACCAGUACCUGUCUCCUGCGAUAGACUCAUGCAAUUCUCCCAGGGGAGAGUGAAGGAAAUAUCUGUAUUUUUUUUUAUAAAUAGCAGGCAUUUUUCAGUUUCCUUCUGUGAUAUUUUCCUGCCUAGCAGCACAGUUAAAAGAGGCUAGAAAGGGGAAACAAACAGGAAAUGAAAUAAUGGCAAAGAUACAGUACUAGGAGAGAGAAUACCAAGGGUCCUUGAGGAAACAAGGGGGAAGCUGUUCAUUGGGCAAUACCCCUGGUUUGGCUCUAGCAACAUUGGGAAGGUUUAUUCUUCCCAGUCCUAUGUAUAGGAUUAAAGAGGAUGCUCAAACCUUAACGCUUGCCUAGGGAAGAAGGGGUUGGGUGGGCUGUCAGGCUGCUCAGAGUGUUUGUGAACGUUGACAGGGAUGCAAGGAGACGCACUGAAGGAGUGACAGAAUGCAGCAGAGCAGUCUGCUUCUCCCAGCCCAGAGACAGAGGUAGUUGGGCAGAAGAGAAUUACAAAAGUUGGCAAUGAAAGAUUACAGUAUAGGGAAGACCAAUGCACAUAAGUCUUUUUUGUUUUAACCCUUUGCUCUUGGUGCUAUGUGCCAGUGAACAGUCUUCUUAAAGCCAAGUAUUGGAACAAAAGCAUCUCACAGGAAAAGACAUUUUAAAACAACAAACAAGACUUUAUGAAUGACUGAUUUUCUCCAAAGUUUACCAUUCCCUAGAACAACUUCUUCAGACUCCCUCCAUGCAGUCUCUCUCUGUCCCUUGACAGCUUCUGACAAUUCAAAGUAGGGUGACCAGUUGUCCCGAUAUUUGGGGCUUUGUCUUAUAUAGACCCCUAUUAUCCCCAUCCCCGUCCCGAUAUUUCACACUUGCUGUCUGGUCACCCUAUAGCAGCCAGAGUUCCCUUC